AAUUUCAGCUGAAAAAGUCAUCAACAUAAAAGUUGUAGAGCUCAUCAAGACAUACAACUUUUAUUUUGACUAUUUCUUCAUCCGAUAAAGUGAUAGUAACAUUGUUCACAAAGUUUACAUAUCUCUCUUAUAUAGUUUAUAGAACCAGAUGAGACAGAUGUAAAUUUUGUAAACAAUAUUACUAUCACUUUGUCGGAUGAAGAAACGACCAAAAUAAAAGUUAUAGAUCUUGAUGAGUUAUACAACUUCGUUGUUGAUGACUUUUUCAAUUGAAAUC
rnacentral:pre_miRNA from 1 species